rnacentral:rRNA from 1 species
AGACGGGGACCCGCACAUGCGGUGGAUGAUGUGGAUUAAUUCGAUGCAACGCGAAAACCUUACCUACCCUUGACAUGUCUGGAACCUUGCUGAGAGGCGAGGGUGCCUUCGGGAGCCAGAACACAGGUGCUGCAUGGCUGUCGUCAGCUCGUGUCGUGAGAUGUUGGGUUAAGUCCCGCAACGAGCGCAACCCUUGUCAUUAGUUGCUACAUUCAGUUGGGCACUCUAAUGAGACUGCCGGUGACAAACCGGAGGAAGGUGGGGAUGACGUCAAGUCCUCAUGGCCCUUAUAGGUGGGGCUACACACGUCAUACAAUGGAUGGUACAAAGGGUCGCCAACCCGCGAGGGGGAGCCAAUCCCAUAAAGCCAUUCGUAGUCCGGAUCGCAGUCUGCAACUCGACUGCGUGAAGUCGGAAUCGCUAGUAAUCGUGGAUCAGAAUGUCACGGUGAAUACGUUCCCGGGUCUU